ACCACUGUGGGUAGUUCGAAACAAGUACUCAGUCCAUUAGUUGUCAGAGGGAAAGACAGACCCCCAUAUCUGAGGAGAGCAUCCAGGAUGGAGAAAGACAUGCAGAAAGUUAAAGGAAAGACAAAGAAAGCACCAGUAAACCGGAAACGUAAACAAAGAGAUGGAGGAGAUACACCAGUGCUGGACACAUGCA